AUGAGGGUCCCAGCUCUUGAGCUAAGUGAGAGGCAUGCUGUGCAGCUGGCCAGGAUAUUACAGGCUAUUGGAGCUGUGGAUGAGAAAGAGGAGCGGGCAGAGGAGCACUGUCCUGAAUUCGUCCCCACUGAGAUGAAGGAAAGAGAGGAAGAGGAAAUGUCCAGUCCUAGUGCUAAGAUCCCAGUCACAAUUAUCACUGGGUAUUUAGGUGCUAGGAAGACAAUACUUUUGAACUAUAUCUUGACAGAGCAACAUAGUAAAAGAGGAGCGGUUAUUUUAAACAAAUUUGGGGAAGGAAAUACAGUGGAGAAAUCCUUAGAUGUCAGCCAAAGUGGAACACUCUACCAAGAAAGAUUGAAACUUAUAAACGUUUGCCUCUGCUGUUCAGUAAAGGACAGUGGCCUUGGAGCUAAUGAGAAUCUGAUGCAGAAGAAGGGAAAAUUUGAUGACAUACCAUUAGAUAGCAGUGGAUUAGCAGAUCCUGGUGCUGUAGCUUCUCUGUUUUGGGUUGAUGCUGAAUUAGGGAUUGAUAUUUAUCUUGCCGGGAUCAUAACUCUUAUGGAUUCAAAAUAUGGAUUAAAACAUUUAGCAGAAGAAAAACCUGUUGGCCUUAUCCAUGAGGCUUCUAGGCAAGCUGCUCUGGCAGAUAUCAUCAUCAUUAAUAAAACAGACUGGGUUUCACAAGAGGAUUUAAGCAAAUUAAGAACGAUCAUUAGAUCAAUAAAUGACUGGGAAAAUUUUUAAAAACACAAAGAUCAAGUUUGCAGAAAAAGCUCCAACACUUACCAACCACGCACCCUCACUCUGAUUAGAGCAUUAUCACAGUCACACAUUUAAGUACCAGGAAACAUGAAGGAAGAAAGUCUAAAUAUAUUAUUCAGAAUCUUCUGUGGGAGAAGAAUGUGAGAAACAAGGACAUUGACUACAUGGGGCUGGUUUUGAUCAAAGACAAACCAAAACCAGUGAUCGUCCAAGGUGUCCAUGAGCUCUGUGACCUGGAGGAGACCAGUGAGCUGGAAAGAAGAUGCUGAGACAACAAAUCAAUCAGUUCUUAUUGAUGGGAAUUUAGACGAGGACAUCCUUCAAUAACUACUUAUAGGUACUGUGACUGAAACAGAAAAGUGGUGGACAACACAUUUCAAAGAAGAUCAAGUUUGCCCAUAA